UACUGAGGGGUGAUACUGAUAAUUUGCAGUACCAGUUUUCAGUGGGAUGUGGUACCAGAUUUACUGUCACACAUGACGUUUGACAGCCGAUUCACGAGGCCGGCGAUGUGAUCGAUGAUGAUUCUGUUUUGUUUGUGCUUGUGUGGAGCCGAGAGUCUGGAGAUGCUGGUGUUUCAUCGGAACCGACGUUUUUGGCCCAGGAAUGAACUAAAGAACAACCUUCGAUGGUGGUGUUCACCUAGUGGCAACAUAAGCAUCCAGAUUGGAAGGAACGUAACGAUUCUCAUCGCGGAUACGCUGGCGGUUGCUCCAGGUCAACAAAAAGUUUGUCCUGUUGGAUGUGAUUG